UACGGAGGGUGCAAGCGUUAUCCGGAUUCACUGGGUUUAAAGGGUGCGUAGGUGGGUUGGUAAGUCAGUGGUGAAAUCUCCAGGCUUAACUUGGAAACUGCCAUUGAUACUAUCAAUCUUGAAUACCGUGGAGGUCAGCGGAAUAUGUCAUGUAGCGGUGAAAUGCUUAGAUAUGACAUAGAACACCAAUUGCGAAGGCAGCUGGCUACACGAAUAUUGACACUGAUGCACGAAAGCGUGGGGAUCAAACAGGA
rnacentral:rRNA from 2 species